CGCGCCAAUAUACCUGCGCGGCACCAAACUGUCUUUGCUGGCCCCUGUCUGUCUUUUUCAAGGCUGUAUAAUAAGGUCGAGUUGUGUGAUUUCUACCUAUUUUAAACGUCCGUCAGUUGGCAGUUAGCUAACGGACGUGUGUGUGCUCUCGCAAAGUUGUUCUUUACACAAAUGUGCAAUGGGAACUCUAUACGGUAUCUUCAGUGAAUGAAACAAUGCUGCAUCUGUCUCUGUGUCGUCAGACGGGAUUUGGAAGGAGGCUGUUCCCCACCUGAUGUCUUUACUGAGUUACAAGAACAAACCGGGUCGUGCAGAGAAGAGGAUGAGUGUGGGCCAAUGACG